GAUGAACGCUAGCUACAGGCUUAACACAUGCAAGUCGAGGGGCAGCAUCAUCAAAGCUUGCUUUGAUGGAUGGCGACCGGCGCACGGGUGAGUAACACGUAUCCAACCUGCCGACAACACUGGGAUAGCCUUUCGAAAGAAAGAUUAAUACCGGAUGGCAUAGUUUUCCCGCAUGGGAUAAUUAUUAAAGAAUUUCGGUUGUCGAUGGGGAUGCGUUCCAUUAGGCAGUUGGCGGGGUAACGGCCCACCAAACCAACGAUGGAUAGGGGUUCUGAGAGGAAGGUCCCCCACAUUGGAACUGAGACACGGUCCAAACUCCUACGGGAGGCAGCAGUGAGGAAUAUUGGUCAAUGGACGAGAGUCUGAACCAGCCAAGUAGCGUGAAGGAUGACUGCCCUAUGGGUUGUAAACUUCUUUUAUACGGGAAUAAAGUUAGCCACGUGUGGUUUUUUGUAUGUACCGUAUGAAUAAGGAUCGGCUAACUCCGUG
rnacentral:rRNA from 1 species